GUAGCUAGGCUUUAGUUUAUCUGGGGACGGGAAAUUCCCCCGGGACCAUCCCAGAUCCCGUUUGGAGAAAUAUUUCAAAAGCCCGUUUACCGAAGAACGCUAUAAGCUACUUAUCCAGGUGCGCGGAGUUACCUCAGGACACGGGCGACAAGCUACGGGGUUUAGGUAAGAAAUAAAAGUCAUUUUGUAACAAUAAUCAACUAUAUUUGGAACUACUGAACUCAACGACUGUGCUCAACUAUACAUGGAAUUCUACAGAAGCGAGAGAGAGAAAAUCAUUUACUACAUGAUUACAAAUCACAUUUGACUCUUAAAUUAUCUGGCUAGCCCUUUCCUUACAUGACGGGGUCGGCUUCAAGUCUAAGCGGAUGCAGCUGAGUACCAGUGUGUCACAUGGAGUGACUGCCUAUCUGACCUCCUCAACCCAGUUACCUGGACAACACGAUACCCUUUGGUAAGACUGGUUGUCAGACAUUCUGGGUUUGGUCUUACAAAGCCUUUAAUAUAACUACGUUUUUUAUAUAAUAAUUUCGCUAUUUUAACCGACUUCAAAAAAGGAGGAGGUUCGGUUAAUUUCUAGAGUCAAAUAUAAUUUGAAAUCAUAACAAUUUCUGUCAAAAUUAUUUUCACAAACCACCAUUGUUUUGUCUAAACAAGAAAUAAAUA